rfam:Asian citrus Psyllid, Diaphorina citri - Florida Strain, whole genome shotgun sequence.
GCCAGUGGUGGUAGCACGUUAAACGCAUUAGUCCCCGAUGGAUCACUGAAGUUAAGUACCGUCGGGUGUGGUUAGUAUCUGGAUGAGCAACCAUAUGUACAAUCGCGUGCUGGUGCUACUGGCU